UGAUAGAGGCGCGGGUGUCAAGAGUACGGUUCUCCCACAAAAACAGGCAAGGGGAGCGGGGAAGGGGCAUUCGCCGAGGUGCGGUGUGUUUCGCCUGUGGAGCAGCCGUGCCGGGCUGUGGGAUAACAUCCCCCGGACUGUCGCCGCCGUUGGGAUACGGCGGCGGGGCGCUGUCG
rnacentral:ncRNA from 1 species